GGUUGUUAUCUUUGGUUAUCUAGCUGUAUGAGUGGUGUCGAUUCUUCAUAAAGCUAGAUAACCGAAAGUAAAAAUAACCCCAUUACACGCCUGAGGAGGAUGUGGAGAAGAAAGGAAAUUCAUCAAAAGGAAGAGGAGGAAAAGAAAAAAUUAAAAGAGAGAGAGAGAAAAAAAAAAAAAACCCAAACGAAGAGAAAGGAAAUGAGAGGCGGAAAAAAUGAGGGAAAAGACAACUUUCAGAGACUGGAAUUAAAACCCGAGCCCGAGGCCCGUCCUGCCGCAGCUCCGGGGAUGCCUGCGACUCCAGGCUGAAUGUGGGUUCACUGUACAUGAUGCUCAUUUUCUGGCUGAAAAAAUUGUAGGUCUCUGGCCCUGGUGAGAGUUCACUGAGAAUAUAUCCUGCUCAGAUUGGCUCAUUGUUACCUGAAUCAAGAGUGGGGUUACAUGGAAAACCUCACCCUCCAAAAGCCAUGAGGAACUGCCAGCAGGACUUUGUCUUGAGGGACCCUCAGCAGAAGCCCCUCACCAUGUCUGAUCCCACCUCAGCCUCCUCCUGUCCCUGCUCCUGCUGGCAGAUCCUGGCCUGGAGCCUGAUGUGGAUCCUGAUUUACACCACAGUCUGUCCAGGCUGCCUAGGGCUGCUGACCAGCACCAAGCCUCGGUGUGGGGACACAGCACCAGCUCAGGGCACACAGGACACCAGGACAUUGCCAUCCUGCCACUCGCUGGUGAGCCUGGGGGCGUGGAACCGCUGUGCUGGGUCACAGGGGGCGUGGGGAAGCUGCAUCCCCUGAGGGAUGGGGAUGGCAGGUAGAGCCCACGGCGGUGGGCAGCUGGCCUGAAGCAGAGGUGAUGGGCAGGGGAGAGGUGCUGGGAAGGGACAGUGUGUUUAUUAUUGAGGCGCAGCUGAAGCGGGUCCUUUGCCAGUGGUCAAGUCUGAAUCACAAACUCUGCAUUGUUUCUGAGUGUGUUCAGCACAUUUCCCUUCUCCCCCUCCCUUUCCCUUUCCUCUCCUCUCGCCCUUGCACAAAGCUGUCAUUGUGCCGGGGACUUGGUGAUGGCAGCGUUGUUAUUUGGUCAGAAAAAAAAAAAAAAAGGAAAAAAAAAAAAAAGAAAGAAGUGAGGAGGGGGGACCCAACAAGGUGAAGAGGUUUAAAUCAGCUUAGCCCAAAUGCCAAUUAAAAACCAAAGAGGAUUAGGCUUGUGAUCAGCAGAAUAGACAGUCAUUGUACCCUGGAGGAGGUUCCCCCUCCCCAGGCCCGACCCAGUGGUGCUGCAGGUUUCGCUGGGAUCGGCACUGCUCUGCUCCCUGGGCAGAAAGGAGCAGCGCAGGGGCUGGCCCUGGCCCCAGGGCUGGCCUUGUACCCACCAAAGCACUCAGCAGGACAGAGACAGGUUCCUCUGCAAAGAGCUUUUCUCACAUUUUUUGUGCGUGUGCAAGGACUCUUUUCUUGCCUUGAGUUCAGCUGAGCAAGGAGAGGCUCCAGUGUCUCUGCCAAGGGAAAGUCUGCCCUGAAAUCAGCUCUUGGAGCUGGAACAUCCCUUGGCUGGGGGCUGGUGCAGGGUCCCUGGGGUGAGGUCCUGAUGUGGGUCUGAGCAGACUGUCCCCAUCUUGCCAGACCCCCAUGUACAUCUCAGGUGCUUGUGCUGGCUGAGGACUCUCUCCACUACAGGACCCUUGGUCAGACCUUAGCUCCAAAGCAGCCACAGCAUCACCUUGGGCCUCAGGCAGUGGUGACAAAGUGCCAGGACCAUCACACGAGUACUACUCCAGCCAGGGGACAUCCAGAGAUCAGUUCUCUGCUCUAUGGCUGGAGAUGUGACAGCAGCACUCUCUGCCUGAUUUAGUUCUCUGCUCACACUGCUCACUAACUUACUGCUUCCAUGGUUUGAAGCCUAAGGUAGCCAGAAACCGUGGUCCUUGUGAUGUUCUCACCUGUGAGAGGAACCCAGGCUGGGUGAGCUGUGUCUGGGUGAUUUCUUGGACUCAGAGCCAUGUGGCUCACCCAGUUCUCUCCCAGCACACUGGUACACCAGUGAAACUCCAGGAACAGGAGGAUGCUCUGCAGCAUCGUGGUAAUGGGAAUCAAUCUGUGGCUGUGGCCAUUUCAUUCCUGCCUAUACUGACAGCAGUAAAGGCAAAUCCCCCGCAGCCAGAAUGGUGUGAAAAGGGUGUUGCCAGAGCAGGAGUGUCCCGAUGCCACAAUAGCUACUUAAAAUGGUAACUCAGGUAGAAAAUGUAAUUCUAGACUAACUUUGAGGCUAUUUUGUAAACGAAAGUUGCCAUGUGCAGAUGGGAGCUAGGGCGAGCAGGGAGAGGUUUAAGAGACAUCAGCAACAAACUCAGGUGGAGCUUGAGCACCUCCAUGUCUGAGAGGGGGUGAACAGUCUGAGCCCUCCCCUCUUUCACCUCGAUGCUGCCUGGCAGUUGGGGGUGCAAAAAGACCCCCUACACACCCGCCCUGCCUCUUCUCUGUGUCUCUGCAAGGUGGAGCCUUUCUGCUAAUGGGGACCAUCCCCUGGCUGAGCUGACCUUGGAGCUUGGUGGGUCCCACUGUUCUGCUUUGUACGGGAGUCCAGGGAUGGCUGAGGUGCAGCCUGGUCCAGCUCCAGCCAUCUCCUGGAAGACACUGAGCCGAUUCCUUGCUGCUGUCGGCUCUAGAUGCAAAAUGCUCCCAGCCUUGAGCCAGGGAGAAGAAAUAGGGAGUGGAAGGGCCCUUCCAUAAGAGCAGAAGGAGAAACCCUCCUGCUUCUGGACCAGGAGCUGCUUCCUCCGAUCCCAGCCACGGUCAGCACUGGCUGAAGGAGCACAGGCGUGCUGCAACAGGCUGGGGUGCUGAGGGGAGGCAGAAAGCAGAAGAGCUGUGGAGCAGAGGAAAUGUGCUUUGAGGGGACAGGGAAAGGAUGAAGGGGAUGCUUGUGGGCUGGGAGCUGCGACGCCUCCACCUCCCUCCUUCGGGAACCCCCGGUGCCGCCGCCGUCCCCAUGCCCGGGGAUGCCCAGCGAGCGCCCGGGCUGUGGGAGCGGAGGAGAGGGCAGGAUCCCUUUUUGUCGCUGCCGUGUAAUUUAUGAUAUGAGAGAGAGCCAUUGUCUGGACUCAUCCUGUAUUUUUCCGAGGGCUUUGCCUCUCUUCCCAGACCCCCGCUGUGCUGCAGCUACUGUACGGUUGCUAUGGGGCUGCUCCCCGUGCCGCGGCUAUGCGGGGCAGAGCCGGGGAGGGCUGCCCGCCGGCCCGGACCCAUCUGUACCCCGAGCCCGCUGCCGCAGCCCAGCCGCCCGACGUGCCGAGGGCCUGGGAAUGGGGCUUUGGGCCCAUCCAAGUUCACGGCCACCGGAGGCAUUCAGCUGCCGGAGGGGCCGAGGGGGGGCAGCGGGAUCUGGGGCGUUUGGCUCCAUUCUCCCUUCCCUUUCAGCGCCGGCAAUGUCCUCGGUGCAUACAGAUCCCCCGUCCCUUUCUCCUCCUGACAAGUGCGCACAUAAAUAAAUUACCCCACCGGGCGAGUGUGGAACAAUCUGUCCCCUAAAUUCUAUUCAUCGCCAGACAGGACUCAUUAUUCCCCCGAUUAAAGCCGCUGGAGUAGCUUGCAAGGGUUACAGUUACUCUGUCAAACUGUAAAUAAGACACUAAAAAUAAAGGGCGCUGGCGAGAGAAGGGGGAAAGGGAAGCCAGACUAAUGCCUGCUGCUAGGGAAACCGAAUGAAUCCCUAAUGACGCCUGUGUACAAACUGCAAAUAAUGAAGGAAAAGUGACAAACAGACCUCAGCCAGGCUGCGGCGAGGUCUUCGCUCCGUGAUGGCAGUGGGGACCAACCCAGCCCUUCCUCCAGGGACAGCCAGCAGGAGAGCAGGACCUGCUUCCACACCUCUCUGAGCAGAGCAUUUCAGCCCUGUCCCUGUUGUACAGGAAGGUUUAGGUCUUGUGGGUGAGUUUAUUUUGCAGGCACAGGACCACUUCAUUUUGAGGUUGUAGGGGAAAAGGUCGAUUGGCUGUGGCAAAGCAGCAGCCCCCAAAGUUGAGUUUGUGCUCUGCUGUUAGAACAGCUCAGAGUUCUGACCUAGGACAGGGCUCAGACCAGGGGGUUAAACCCAUCCUUCUGCCCAGAGCCCUGGGUGAUGCAGCCCAGGCCCCUGCCCACCUCCUUCCCAUCACUCUCAUGGCUGAGAUGGAGAUGCAGGGCUGAGUCCCAGGUCUGAGCAGUCUGGAUCUGCUCCUUGUGCCAUGAUAGAUCACAGGGGAGGAUGUGUCCAGCCCUAGAAAAUCUCUUUGGAUAAAAUACAGUUCCUUCCCGGCUGGUCUCUUGCCAGCCAGCAAUGAUAGGGGCAUUUGCCUUGCAGCAGAUCCUUUUUCUCCUUUGAUAUCUUAAAACUGAAGAAAUGAGGCAAAAAAAUCAGGCUUGUCGUGGGUGUUUCUCAGUUCCAGAGGGACUGAGAUGUGAGUUUUAUUUCAGGUCCUGCUUGGACUAUUCCCACCACCGGCAAUGGGUGAAAUGCUGGAAUUCUCUGUGUUGCUUGGGGAAAUAUUUUGAUUCACUCCCCGCCAAGCACCUAAAAGAUGGAGCAAAAAGAGCUCUGAGCUGUGCCUCUCCAGGUGGAUUCUUGUUCUCCAGAGCAGAGCAAGGAGCAGAGGAGGUCCUUGGGAUCCAGAGCAGACCAGACUGUGACCAGGUUGGACACUGAGCUCUCAUCCCCCAGAUCUGUGUGGAUGUCUCAGUGCACUCCCCCCUUUCCACAGAGCCUAGCAGUGCUGGGGCCUUUCUGGAGCCUGAUCUCCACCAGAAAAGGGCACAGCCAAGAGCAGGGGGAGCAGCAGAUGCUGAUGAUCCCUGCCCUGCUCAGCACAGCACCCCUCUCUUCUCCCUCUAGCAGCAGAAUUGCAAAAGACCUCACGUAGAAGUCUCUGCUCUGCUUGGGGCUUGUACAAGGCUCAGACAUCUUAAAAGGGAUUUUUCAGGCCAGCUGAGCUAGUCUGGAGCCCAGUUGUAUUUCCCAGUCGGGUCAAACCUAGGCUUAGCAGAUUUCUUUCCCUUCUGUCUUAGGGGAAACAAACCCUUUCCACCCACAAUUCCUGGCUGUGAGGCCUCAUGACUCCAAAAUAGCAUUCCUGGGGCAUUCCUCAUGUCAUGGUGAAGAACAUAAGGCUGGAAGAAUAGGAAAAAUUAAAAAAAAAGAAAGAAAAAAGAAAAAGAAUCUCCAACCCCAGGAAAUCUGUGUUAAUUGCUUAUGAAUGUCUCUGUCUAAAAAAUUAUCGAAUUGAUGUUGUCGUGCUUUUUUUUGACAGCCUGUCUGUUACAUUUUUUUAAAAUAUUCAUGCACCGAAAUCUAAUUACUAGGCAAAUUUAAUGAUAAUGAAAUGAAGGCACUUUAGCAGAAAGCAUAGGGCCUUGUUAAUGUUUUCUCAGCCUCUGUCUUGUUCAUAUUUUUAAUUUUUUUUUACAUUUUUUUCUUGCAUAUAAAAAAAAAAAAGAUUGCUGAAAAUAAAACUCAGAUUGC